rnacentral:rRNA from 1 species
UCUAAGUAUAAGCAAUUAUACCGUGAAACUGCGAAUGGCUCAUUAAAUCAGUUAUCGUUUAUUUGAUAGUACCUUACUACUUGGAUAACCGUGGUAAUUCUAGAGCUAAUACAUGCUGAAAACCCCAACUUCGGGAGGGGUGUAUUUAUUAGAUAAAAAACCAACGCCCUUCGGGGCUUCUUGGUGAUUCAUGAUAACUUUACGGAUCGCAUGGCCUUGCGCCGGCGACGGUUCAUUCAAAUUUCUGCCCUAUCAACUUUCGAUGGUAAGGUAUUGGCUUACCAUGGUUUCAACGGGUAACGGGGAAUUAGGGUUCGAUUCCGGAGAGGGAGCCUGAGAAACGGCUACCACAUCCAAGGAAGGCAGCAGGCGCGCAAAUUACCCAAUCCCGACACGGGGAGGUAGUGACAAUAAAUACUGAUACAGGGCUCUUUUGGGUCUUGUAAUUGGAAUGAGUACAAUUUAAACCUCUUAACGAGGAACAAUUGGAGGGCAAGUCUGGUGCCAGCAGCCGCGGUAAUUCCAGCUCCAAUAGCGUAUAUUAAAGUUGUUGCAGUUAAAAAGCUCGUAGUUGAAACUUGGGUCUGGCUGGCAGGUCCGCCUCACCGCGUGUACUUGUCCGGCCGGGCCUUCCUUCUGGAGAACCUCAUGCCCUUCACUGGGCGUGUUGGGGACCAGGACUUUUACUUUGAAAAAAUUAGAGUGUUCAAAGCAGGCCUUUGCUCGAAUACGUUAGCAUGGAAUAAUAGAAUAGGACGUGCGGUUCUAUUUUGUUGGUUUCUAGGACCGCCGUAAUGAUUAAUAGGGACAGUCGGGGGCAUCAGUAUUCAAUUGUCAGAGGUGAAAUUCUUGGAUUUAUUGAAGACUAACUACUGCGAAAGCAUUUGCCAAGGAUGUUUUCAUUAAUCAGUGAACGAAAGUUAGGGGAUCGAAGACGAUCAGAUACCGUCGUAGUCUUAACCGUAAACUAUGCCGACUAGGGAUCGGGCGAUGUUCUUUUUUUUGACUCGCUCGGCACCUUACGAGAAAUCAAA